rnacentral:lncRNA from 1 species
CCUUGGCUGGGGUAGAGACAGAGAGAAGAGACGCAAGUUGGGGACCUGCAAGUAGGGUUCCAGUCCAGGUCCGCGUGCGCAGGCCGGGCGCCCUCAGGUUUAGCGGCCACGCCCUUGCGUUCCUUCCGGGUUGCGUGAGGAUUCCUGAAACGCAGUUUUCAGCAGCUGCUCUGGGCAGCUCCACACGAUCCUUUCAGCGAAGUUGGCGAGUGUCCGACCCAGACAGAAAAAAGCAAAGCCAGACUCCAAGCGCUAUCAGCCAGGCGUGAUUCUAAGCACUUUUCUGCGCAUUGUCUCUGAGUCCUUAGAUCAGUGCUGUUAUGUCCUGUAUUACAGGUGAGGAAAGAGGGGCAGGGAGCGUGGCUGGUGCUGUCUAGGAUGGGGACUGAAGUCCAGGUGGCCUGGCUGCAGUGCCCCUCUAGUCACCACUGCACUGUCCCCUGCUGACCCGUCACCUGAGUGCCGUUGUCCAAGGGCCUGAGACUGCCGACAGCCAGACAGAUGUGCACACACGCUUACAUGCACAUACUGUUCCAGUCUGAGGCGUCAAACUACAGGGGCUGGUCCAAGCCUCAGGACAAGGACCUGCAGACGUAGAGAUGCAAGGUUUGGCACAGAGAACAGGGCGCCUGCCUUGGUGUUGUCCUGCCCUGCAGCCCCAUCUAAGGACAGCCACCACCAGUACAGGGCCAUAGGGCAGAAACACCUGGAUCCCUGGCAAAGGCUGACAAGCUGGCAUGAGCCAGGGCAGGAGGGAUGGCUGUCCUCAGCUGGUCAGGGAAUACAGGCCAAGUGGACAGGGGCCAGGUGCUCCGG